AUUGUCACCUUAGUGUUUUCAUGCUCUCAAGCCUUGCUUUCCUUGCCUGUUUUCUGACCUCUGUUUGGAUCUUUGGAUUUUGUGGAUUUGCUUGCCUUCACUUGUCGACUUGCUGGUUCCUACCAGGAAGCCUACAGAUGGGGACUUGACUCAGACUUGGAUUCUACUUUGGUGACUCAGACUUUGUUUUGAAUAUAGAGGACACAAAGCCUGACUUGGACUCAAGGUCUCCCGUGUAUUUUAAACAUGAUGAUAUACAUACCUAAGUAAUGGAUAACAGAGUUUGACCUAACCUGACUGGCUUACAAUGAUCAAAACUGGACCUCGGCCCAAAGGACACGUACACCAGCCACCUCCUGUUUGUUAAAGGCAAAAAGACCCAAAAACCAGAGUGCUCCAUCUCCCACUGUCUUUAUAUAUCGAGCACUAGCAUGCCAUUGCCAAUAUAACAAUAUACAACAACAAUAUAAAAACUCAAACUUUAUCAAGCACUUAAACUUUCAGUAAGUGCUCUGAAGAUACAAGACAAAGAAGAAACAAAGUUUUAGGGAAAGAAAAUCACCAGAAAGUGAAAGUUUUCUUGUACUUUCCCUGUCAUGAUUUUGGUAACUUUAAAAUGACUGAAGAAUGUCAGCCUUUCAAAGUGUUAUUUCAUGUUGAAUGGUUAAUACAAUAAUGAAAUGUCACUGCUAAGAUA